rnacentral:rRNA from 1 species
AUUGAACGCUGGCGGCAGGCCUAACACAUGCAAGUCGAACGGUAACAGGAAGCAGCUUGCUGCUUCGCUGACGAGUGGCGGACGGGUGAGUAAUGUCUGGGAAGCUGCCUGAUGGAGGGGGAUAACUACUGGAAACGGUAGCUAAUACCGCAUAAUGUCGCAAGACCAAAGAGGGGGACCUUCGGGCCUCUUGCCAUCGGAUGUGCCCAGAUGGGAUUAGCUUGUUGGUGGGGUAACGGCUCACCAAGGCGACGAUCCCUAGCUGGUCUGAGAGGAUGACCAGCCAAACUGGAACUGAGACACGGUCCAGACUCCUACGGGAGGCAGCAGUGGGGAAUAUUGCACAAUGGGCGCAAGCCUGAUGCAGCCAUGCCGCGUGUAUGAAGAAGGCCUUCGGGUUGUAAAGUACUUUCAGCGGGGAGGAAGGGAGUAAAGUUAAUACCUUUGCUCAUUGACGUUACCCGCAGAAGAAGCACCGGCUAACUCCGUG